rnacentral:tRNA from 2 species
UGCCUCGUAGCCAAGUGGUAAGGCAUAAGACUUUGACUCUUACAUGCGCUAGUCCGAAUCUAGCCGAGGCAGCCA